UACGUAGGUGGCAAGCGUUGUCCGGAAUUAUUGGGCGUAAAGCGCGCGCAGGCGGUCCUUUAAGUCUGAUGUGAAAGCCCACGGCUCAACCGUGGAGGGUCAUUGGAAACUGGGGGACUUGAGUACAGAAGAGGAAAGCGGAAUUCCACGUGUAGCGGUGAAAUGCGUAGAGAUGUGGAGGAACACCAGUGGCGAAGGCGGCUUUCUGGUCUGUAACUGACGCUGAGGCGCGAAGCGUGGGGAGCAAACAG
rnacentral:rRNA from 1 species